GUGUCCUCAGCAUGCAUCCUUUCUGGAGCUCUAGGGAAGAAUCCAGCUCCUGCUCAUUUGGGUUGCUGGGAGAAUUCAGUUCCUUGAAUUGUAGCGAAAAGGUCCCCAUUUUCUUGUGAAGUGUAAACCAAGAGCCAUUCUCUGCUUCUAGAGGCUGCCACAUUCUUUGGUUUUUGGCCCCCUUCCCACUCUGUAGAGCCAGCAAAAGCGGAAUAAGUCCUUUUCACUUCUCAUCUCUGCGACCCACCCUUCCGCCACCCUCUUCCACUUUUAAGGACACUUGUGAUUAUGUUGGGCCCACCUGGAUAAUUCAGGUGCUUUAGCUCCAGCCAUCAAUAUAGUUCAAAGACCACAAUCUUCAGAAACACCUGAAGUCUAUAAACUAUGUACACCUGCUGGACCACGUUCUUUGUUGUGUGAUAGUUGUACUGGAGAGGAGAGAGAUUGCAGACAUCAGUUAUAGAAUCAUUAUCAAAGAUCAGGACUACUGGAUUA